rnacentral:rRNA from 1 species
UACGUAGGAGGCAAGCGUUGUCCGGAAUUACUGGGUGUAAAGCGCGUGUAGGCGGCAGGCCAAGUCUGUGGUGAAAUCGCUCGGCUCAACUGGGCGGGGUCCAUGGAAACUGGUCAGCUGGAGGACGGUAGAGGUGAGUGGAAUUCCCGGUGUAGUGGUGAAAUGCGUAGAGAUCGGGAGGAACACCCGUGGCGAAGGCGGCUCACUGGGCCGGUCCUGACGCUGAGACGCGAAAGCGUGGGGAGCAAACGGG